AUUGAACGCUGGCGGAAUGCUUUACACAUGCAAGUCGAACGGCAGCACGGACUUCGGUAUGGUGGCGAGUGGCGAACGGGUGAGUAAUGUACCGGAACGUGCUCAGUCGUGGGGGAUAACGUAGUGAAAAUUACGCUAAUACCGCAUACGAGCUAUGGAUGAAAGCGGGGGAUCGCAAGACCUCGCGCGAUUGGAGCGGCCGAUAUCAGAUUAGGUAGUUGGUGGGGUAAAGGCGCACCAAGCCAACGAUCUGUAGCUGGUCUGAGAGGACGACCAGCCACACUGGAACUGAGACACGGUCCAGACUCCUACGGGAGGCAGCAGUGGGGAAUUUUGUACAAUGGACGAAAGCCUGAUCCAGCCAUUCCGCGUGCAGGAUGAAGGCCCUCGGGUUGUAAACUGCUUUUGUACAGAACGAAAAGGUUUCUACUAAUACUAGGAGCUCAUGACGGUACUGUAAGAAUAAGCACCGGCUAACUACGUGCCAGCCGCCGCGGUAA
rnacentral:rRNA from 1 species